AACGAACGCUGGCGGCAGGCCUAACACAUGCAAGUCGAACGAGAUCUUCGGAUCUAGUGGCGGACGGGUGAGUAACGCGUGGGAACGUGCCCUUCUCUACGGAAUAGUCCUGGGAAACUGGGUUUAAUACCGUAUACGCCCUUCGGGGGAAAGAAUUUCGGGGAAGGAUCGGCCCGCGUUGGAUUAGGUAGUUGGUGGGGUAAUGGCCUACCAAGCCGACGAUCCAUAGCUGGUUUGAGAGGAUGAUCAGCCACGCUGGGACUGAGACACGGCCCAGACUCCUACGGGAGGCAGCAGUGGGGAAUAUUGGACAAUGGGGGCAACCCUGAUCCAGCGAUGCCGCGUGAGUGAAGAAGGCCUUCGGGUUGUAAAACUCUUUCACCUGUGACGAUGAUGACGGUAGCAGGAGAAGAAGCACCGGCUAACU
rnacentral:rRNA from 1 species